GGCGUGUCCUAGCCCAGUCUCCUGAGCUCAGCUGUCCUCCGCCAUUACCAAGCACCGCAAAUGCUGCCACCAAAGCUCCAGGGGCCCCUCCCCGGGGCAUUUCCACCUCAAUCCCACGCUUCUCUUGGCUUCAGAUCUCAGCUGCCAGAUUCCUCUUCUCCUCAAGACUGCAGUGACUGCCUGUGGGCUACAGUCUCAAACAGCCGUGCUUAUGUGGUUAGAUGCAGAGGACACACAGACCACAAAAUAAAUCAGGAAGACACCAGUGCUCAGCGCCCAAGAGCAAAACAAACGAAUCCUGGAGUGACGCCCAGCACAACGUGCCAGUGGGUCUUAUGCUAAGAGGGGGAGAAACAGCACAGAGUCCACCAUUCCUGCAACUUGUGCCCACGGCAGCAGAGCAAGUGGAUAAUAACUCUCUCAGAAUAAUAAUAAUAAUAAUAAUAAUCACAUCAGUCUCGAGAUCUGUCUAAACAGAGCACUCCAAGCAGCUUACUCCCAGUCAGGAAGAGUUGGUAUAUGAGCUGAAACCUCUCUGCCAGCCCAAAUUUGAUUGGUUGUCUGACUCCAAGAAUACCAAGCUAAAAGGACCAUCACCAUUACCGACCGUCCCAACGUCCUCCUGGCCUCCUGGAUCUGCAGGACAAGGUUGGCCCAUGUUUCCAAGAGGAGACUAGGACUGCCCUUCACUUAGGAGGGUGGCUCGGAGCCCACUUCUGCCCUCCCUACCGCUGGUCUCCUCCUUCGGGUGUCUUCAGAAGAGACUUCUGUUGAAGAGGAGAUUCAUUCAUCAGCAGAUGAGCCAUUUUCAUGUUUAGACCAAACCUCCAGCCAAAACAAACAAACAAACAAAGUUCCUAUCAAGACAAGUCAGUAUGUUGGCUUUACUCUCAGAGCCUUGCCUGGAUGUCAGGAUCCUUUGAUGGUGACCUCCGACCUGGGGAGCUCCGGAAGGCUUUGAGGUGCCAUUCCACUGACAUUCCACUCUGGGAGGCUCUGCCUCACGCCUAACGCACCUGCCAGCAAUUAAAGGUCCCCUCCCCAGCGACCUGGGCUCGCCUGGGGGGCCCAGGGUCUCUUACCUUUCAAGAGUCCCGAGCCACCCGGCUGUAUGGGUUCCCACAACCUCCUCCCUUCCCUUCACAGCAGUCACGUCCCUACCCCGUUAAUAACCUGCCUUCUUCAGGAAGUGAAGUCCGACCAGGGAUAGCACGACACGCCGAAAGAACAGAGAACUGGGGACACAGGACCCACAUUCCAGCUCUGCCUCAGCCGCCAACUUGCUCUAGGACUGUGGCAAGUCUCUCCCGUUCUCCAACACCACUUCCUGGCGACAGUGCUGGACUGGAUCAGUGUUUCUUAGAGUUUACCCCGAGAUGUCCCAUAUCAGAAUCCUCUGGAAGACUCAUUAAAAAUCCAGGCUCAAACUCUCCACCCCAGAUCCACUAUGACAGAAUUUCUUUUCUUUUCUUUUCUUUCUUUUUUUUUUUUUUUU
rnacentral:lncRNA from 1 species